rnacentral:rRNA from 1 species
UACGAAGGGGGCUAGCGUUGCUCGGAAUGACUGGGCGUAAAGGGCGCGUAGGCGGAUGGCAUAGUCAGAUGUGAAAUUCCCGGGCUUAACCUGGGGACUGCAUUUGAUACGUGUCGUCUUGAGUUCGGAAGAGGGUCGUGGAAUUCCCAGUGUAGAGGUGAAAUUCGUAGAUAUUCGCAAGAACACCAGUGGCGAAGGCGGCUCACUGGCCCGAUACUGACGCUGAGGCACGAAAGCGUGGGGAGCAAACAGG